GCCUGCAAAUGCAUGCCUGUAGUCCCAGCUACUCGGGAGGCUGAGGUGGGAGGAUCGCUUGAGUACAGGAGUUCUGGGCUGUAGUGCGCUAUGCCGAUCGGGUGUCCGCACUAAGUUUGGCAUCAAUAUGGUGACCUCCUGGGAGCGGGGAGCCACCAGGUUGCCUAAGGAGGGGUGAACCGGCCCAGGUCAGAAACGGAGCAGGUCAAAACUCCCAUGCUGAUCAUUAGGCAAUUUAGAUAACACGUUCUUUUUUCUCCACAGAGGCAAAACCCUCCCCUUCAAGAACGUCUUUGGCCUUUU
rnacentral:SRP_RNA from 1 species